CCCCCCUGUAAGAGGCCGCACCAUUGGUCGUGGCUCGUCCACAGACUGCCAAGUUAGCCGCCACCGCCACUACCACCGAUGCAAGCGGGAGGAGAAGUUUAAGAUCGAUCUCAUGGUUCCUCCGGCACUGAAAUCAUCUCCGGAAAGAGAUGGUGAUAUAGAAAGCGUAUCAGAUCCUAAAUCUAUUGCUCCAGAUGUUGAAAUGGUGCCUAAGGUAGAGGCUCCGAUGGCAAAGGAGAAGAUGGAGAAAAUUGCUCUGCCGGAUGCAAGAGAAGUUCGAUUGGAAGAGAAGAAGACGGAACAACUUGGAAGAAUUUAAAUCGCAGAAGCCGCUCGCUAAUAGGGAGAGGAUCCUCGACCUGCAAUUUGAUUUGGAAAAGCCGGAUAAGGAUGGUGGGACGGGUAGUGUCAGUGGAAGCAAACAACAGCCCAAAACUGCUACUAGACACGAUUCGAAAACAGAGAAAAUUGCCCAAUCAACAUCUUUGCCUCUUGCUAAUUCUAUUAUUCUAUGUACCGGAACUAGAAUUGUCCUCCUAAAACUUGGAGACAAAUCAGAUUAUCAUACCUUCUGGGCUGCUCCUCCGCGGGGAUCAGAUUAUCAUACCUUCAAACAGGGGCGGCAGGGGCAUCUUCUACCACUGAAGGCAUCGUAGGAAGCCGCAGGAGGGUCCUGCUGCCAACGAGAUAACCAUCCCAAGAUGCCCGAGGCUCGUCCCAAGAGUAACGUGGAUCGUCGAAGGAUAACAUUUCGAAGAACAAAUAACAAGAUGAUUAAAAACCCUAGCUACAAUUUCUUCUUCCUCUCCGAUAAUUGGGAAACAAGAAGAAACAAAAAGAUACAGAGACACUACUUCAUAUACCCAACCAAUUGAUAAUGGUUUCUUCAAAUUCUCCGGUGGAAAAAAUCCGGAGAUUGAUAAUCUCCGGUGAAGGUGAGUACGGUAGGGGUGAAGAGAAAUUGGG